UACCAGCACCCCGAGUGGUCGGGACGUUUAUUGGGCCUAAAGCAUCCGUAGCCGGUUCUGCAAGUCUUCCGUUAAAUCCACCUGCUUAACAGAUGGGCCGCGGAAGAUACUAUAGAGCUAGGAGGCGGGAGAGGCAAGCGGUACUCAGUGGGUAGGGGUAAAAUCCUUUGAUCCAUUGAAGACCACCAGUGGCGAAGGCGGCUUGCCAGAACGCGCUCGACGGUGAGGGAUGAAAGCUGGGGGAGCAAACCGG
rnacentral:rRNA from 1 species